rnacentral:rRNA from 16 species
GGAUGCGAUAAUACCAGCACUAAAGCACCGGAUCCCAUCAGAACUCCGAAGUUAAGCGUGUUUGUGAUAUGUUUUAGCUUGCCCCUCCCGUGUCCAUUGCCACAUUUG